UGGAGCGGGACAGGGGCAACGUGGGAACCCUGGACCGACUGACAGCCAAAAGGGACCGGGAUAGCAACUCAGAUACACUAAACAGGAAAACGACACCAGUUUAAACUCAGAGAGAGAGGAGAGGAGAAAUAGAGAUGGAAUUUAGAGAGGAAGAGUAGGGCUGUAAAUGUGUGGGUGGCACGUCAACAAUAAGGUUUCUGUCCUUGAGCCUGAGGUAUCGAGCUGCCAUAAAUAUUAUAAACAGUCAUCAAACAUCUGAUGCUAAGAGCAAAUUCAUGACAGCCGCCUUAAAAAUUGUCAUGACUUUGAAACCUGUUUUGUUAAUUGCACAGCAGGGGUACAGUGGCGGAUUCGGGAAAUGUUUCUUUUCUCUGUUUUUUAUUCCUGAAUUACUCACUAAAUCAUAGAGAUACAAAACUCCCAGAUGUGUAAUAAAACAGCCUCCCAAUGCAGCAGUUAGGUGCCUUGCCGAGGAGGCAGGGGAACGCUUUCGUUAUUUAUUUCCCUUAUCUCAGUUUUGUCAGUUUCUACAAGGACAUCUUUUUAAAUCCUGAAAGAAACAGUAAAGGAAGCUUUGAUGAUUAUAAACCCCACUUACAAAUCACUAAUUUGUACACAUCUUAGAUCGGAUUGGCCUUAAAUCUACAUUUUCUUUUCACAAAGCAAGACACAGAGUCCUUGCUUUUUGGUAUUCUAAACUUUGCAACACUUUUUAACAUAAUAAUUAAAUUAUAAAGUGGCCAGAUGGUACAAGUCACAAUUCUUUCUUCCAUUUCUGUUUUAAAAGGACGAGAGCGUCACAGACGGGUACAUUCUGCCAAGUAACAAGCUGCUCAGUGACAAGUUGACUGCCAAUUGAAGGUCAACAGUAGCUCCUUAACCUCUGGACCCGAGAGAGAGCGACCUCAGCCAUAUCUAACGUAGAUCAGAGGAGGCUGCCGCACUUCAGUGGUGUCACGUGGAAAGCAUGUGAACAAAAGUGAGAGGCAACACCCUGCUUCACCCUCACAACGCUGGAACUGGAAGCUGGCCGAUAAAAGCCUCCCUGUUGGGUCAGUUUAGGAGUGGCUCCCCUGGGACAAUUGGGUGUUAUGUGCCUUGCUCAGGGGCACGUCAGUAUUUGAAAGAAAGUAAUUUUUCUUUUCUAACCAUUCUACAUAUAACUAGACAACUUUCUGGACCACAGUUUGUUUGUUAUUUUUGCUGUUGUUGUUGUUUUUUACCCAGUUGUCACUUUGAAUGUGUAUAAUCUUUUUAGUGUAAAUGUUUUUUUCUAUUCUGUUUACAUGUAAUUAAUUCUUCCGUUGUCUUUUAGAGAAAUAUUUUUGAAACGUUUGUCUUAUUUGCGAAUAAGGUUGGGCAACUGGAUCAAUAGGCCCAUAUAACCCGUCAGCUGUUUAUUAUUUAUGUCAUUUAGUUUUUCUAAUUUAGUGGUCUGCCUCUAUGAAAAUUCAGUUUGGCAAGACGUCGAGGUGUAAAUCACAGUUACAAUUAGCAGCGUUAGGAUGUUCGCGUUUAUUUUCUUGAGAGUGAGUUGUCAUGGAGACCUGACAUUAUAUGGUAGUGAUGGCGCUGCAGAAUGUCGAGUUCCUGUGAAAGUCUUUAUUGUCCGACAACUUUCCAAGCUAACAAGUGAUUCCAGAGCUAUGCUAUGUAAGCUAGCUGCAUGUUGCACAUCAGUACAUUAUAGUUUUCUGCACCUGAUCACUUAAAAACCCUUUCAGAACCUGAAAGGUAUCCUGCUUCAUUUGGGUCUAACAGCUUGCAAAUUUAGUCCAGUUUAAAAUAAUUAUCAUAACUAUUUUGUUUGGGGUUUUUUGGCAGUGAACAAGAGUGUGUGCAGCUAGGGGGAGAAGUGGCUGCUGCAUACACGCCCAUCCUGUAUAAUAUAAAGGCAACUGCUGAUUGUUGGACUGACGAUGGCCAGCUGGCAGAUUUUACCACGUCGCCCGGCCCUGUUUCCUAAUGUUAGAUUUUUCUUUGGUGUUUUCUCUUUCUCUAAACUAUUUUACUCUCCUUCCAUUUUAUUCUUCUAUAACCCUGAUCCUCAUUUCUCUCCAUCAUCAUUUUGUCUUCAUUUCGUUGUAGGAAAUGAAUUGAUGUUUUACUUUCUAAACAUUACCAACGUAGCCUAAUAAUCAGUGUUUUUAAUGUUCUGACUAGUGUAUAACUGUAAGCGAUAGACUUUAUAUUAAUCUAUUUAUUUUGGUGGUGGUAUGUAUAGAUAUUCUUAAUGUUAUAUUGUUUCAGAGUUCCUACACCUGUAACUUUGGGCUAUAAAAGGCUUUAUGCCUGCCUGUGACAUAUGCUCAGUAGCCUAAGUGCUGGCAAAGUAAAUGUGGUCUGUGUUGGUGCUGUCUAUGGUUUUUACACAAUAAUCUUUGAGUACAACAAACUACAUCUUUGUUACAGAACUAAAUCGACUCUAGAGCACGUCCUAAUCUUGUAGUUUUGCUUUCUGCAAAAUGUUUAUGAAAACAUGCUCAAAAGCAGCGAUCUCGUUCUUUCGUUUUCAAUUCAUGUCCUGAUGUGAAAGCCAUUUUAAAGCCAGCGUGAGUCACCAGGUUCUUUUCCCAACACCUAGGCUGCUGACACAAGUCAAACAUGAAGCUCUUCAGAUGGAAAACUAGUAAAUUUCCACUCAGCAGACUGAUACACGGAAGGAACAAUAUGGAAAAGGGGAAGCAAUACAAUACAAUAUACUGAUCCUCAUUGGUAAAGACAAAAAAUAUAAGGUAUAUAUAAAUAUAUACAUAUAUAAAUAUAUAGAUAUAUUCAAUAAAGUUCUCUAUGAAAAAUG
ensembl:lncRNA